rnacentral:rRNA from 1 species
UUGUGAGGUUAAGCGACUAAGCGUACACGGUGGAUGCCCUGGCAGUCAGAGGCGAUGAAGGACGUGCUAAUCUGCGAUAAGCGUCGGUAAGGUGAUAUGAACCGUUAUAACCGGCGAUUUCCGAAUGGGGAAACCCAGUGUGAUUCGUCACACUAUCAUUAACUGAAUCCAUAGGUUAAUGAGGCGAACCGGGGGAACUGAAACAUCUAAGUACCCCGAGGAAAAGAAAUCAACCGAGAUUCCCCCAGUAGCGGCGAGCGAACGGGGAGCAGCCCAGAGCCUGAAUCAGUGUGUGUGUUAGUGGAAGCGUCUGGAAAGGCGCGCGAUACAGGGUGACAGCCCCGUACACAAAAAUGCACAUGCUGUGAGCUCGAUGAGUAGGGCGGGACACGUGGUAUCCUGUCUGAAUAUGGGGGGACCAUCCUCCAAGGCUAAAUACUCCUGACUGACCGAUAGUGAACCAGUACCGUGAGGGAAAGGCGAAAAGAACCCCGGCGAGGGGAGUGAAAAAGAACCUGAAACCGUGUACGUACAAGCAGUGGGAGCACGCUUAGGCGUGUGACUGCGUACCUUUUGUAUAAUGGGUCAGCGACUUAUAUUCUGUAGCAAGGUUAACCGAAUAGGGGAGCCGAAGGGAAACCGAGUCUUAACUGGGCGUUAAGUUGCAGGGUAUAGACCCGAAACCCGGUGAUCUAGCCAUGGGCAGGUUGAAGGUUGGGUAACACUAACUGGAGGACCGAACCGACUAAUGUUGAAAAAUUAGCGGAUGACUUGUGGCUGGGGGUGAAAGGCCAAUCAAACCGGGAGAUAGCUGGUUCUCCCCGAAAGCUAUUUAGGUAGCGCCUCGUGAAUUCAUCUCCGGGGGUAGAGCACUGUUUCGGCAAGGGGGUCAUCCCGACUUACCAACCCGAUGCAAACUGCGAAUACCGGAGAAUGUUAUCACGGGAGACACACGGCGGGUGCUAACGUCCGUCGUGAAGAGGGAAACAACCCAGACCGCCAGCUAAGGUCCCAAAGUCAUGGUUAAGUGGGAAACGAUGUGGGAAGGCCCAGACAGCCAGGAUGUUGGCUUAGAAGCAGCCAUCAUUUAAAGAAAGCGUAAUAGCUCACUGGUCGAGUCGGCCUGCGCGGAAGAUGUAACGGGGCUAAACCAUG